UACGAAGGGGGCUAGCGUUGCUCGGAAUCACUGGGCGUAAAGCGCACGUAGGCGGCUUACUAAGUCAGGGGUGAAAUCCUGGAGCUCAACUCCGGAACUGCCUUUGAUACUGGUGAGCUUGAGUCCGGAAGAGGUGAGUGGAACUGCGAGUGUAGAGGUGAAAUUCGUAGAUAUUCGCAAGAACACCAGUGGCGAAGGCGGCUCACUGGUCCGGUACUGACGCUGAGGUGCGAAAGCGUGGGGAGCAAACAGG
rnacentral:rRNA from 1 species